CACACACACACACACACACACACACAAGAACAGCACUGUCAAAAUGAGGAUACAAGCACAGGAAUUAGCAUGCUAACCGCUAAACUUAGCCCGUUUAAUUUCAGGGUGAUGACCUUUUGUCAAGAUGGCCGAUGUUUUUGAGACGCUUUAAUCGGUUAUUGACACAAAACGUUGCCCAUCAUGUUUUCAACUUUGGUCAUCUUUUUCAUGCAAUGUUAAAAUAAUAACAUGAAGUAAAAUCAGAAACUGAUGUUUGUUAGUUUAAAGUUUGUUAGUCGUCAACUGGAAGGAGAUGAAGAUGUGGCCGACAGAGACAGUCGUCUUAAUAGUUAAUGGUAGCGCCUGCUAACGUUUUUGAUGUGUUUAGCAGUUUAGUGUUAGCCUCCAGUAAUUUUUUUGUGUUAGCAGUUUCACUUUACCUUUCACAAAUUUUUAUAGGUUUAGCAGUUAGCUUUAGCUUCUGCUAAUUAUUUAUGUGUUUAGCGUUUAGCUUUAGCUUCCACUUCUUUGUAUGUGCUCAGCACUUCAGUAUUCACUUCCACUAAUCUUUUUAUAUGCUUAGCAUUAGCUUUUGAUUAUUUUUAUGUGUUUAGCGGUUUAGCGAUAGCGGAGCUAAAAUUC